rnacentral:rRNA from 1 species
AUUGAACGCUGGCGGAAUGCUUUACACAUGCAAGUCGAACGGCAGCACGGACUUCGGUCUGGUGGCGAGUGGCGAACGGGUGAGUAAUGUAUUGGAACGUGCCCAGUCGUGGGGGAUAACGUAGUGAAAAUUACGCUAAUACCGCAUACGAUCUAUGGAUGAAAGCGGGGGAUCGCAAGACCUCGCGCGAUUGGAGCGGCCGAUAUCAGAUUAGGUAGUUGGUGGGGUAAAGGCCCACCAAGCCAACGAUCUGUAGCUGGUCUGAGAGGACGACCAGCCACGCUGGAACUGAGACACGGGCCAGACUCCUACGGUAGGCAGCAGUGGGGAAUUUUGGACAAUGGGCGAAAGCCUGAUCCAGCCAUUCCGCGUGCAGGAUGAAGGCCCUCGGGUUGUAAACUGCUUUUGUACAGAACGAAAAGGUUUCUACUAAUACUAGGAGCUCAUGACGGUACUGUAAGAAUAAGCACCGGCUAACUACGUGCCAGCCGCCGCAGUAA